AACGAACGCUGGCGGCAUGGAUUAGGCAUGCAAGUCGAACGAAGUAGCAAUACUUAGUGGCGAAAGGGUGAGGAACGCGUGAGUAAUCUGCCCUCAAGUUGGGAAUAACAGUUGGAAACGACUGCUAAUACCGAAUGUGGCUAUAGGAACGCAUGUUUUUAUGGCUAAAGAUUUAUUGCUUGAGGAUGAGCUCGCGUCCCAUUAGUUAGUUGGUGAGGUAAUGGCUCACCAAGGCGAUGAUGGGUAGCUGGUCUGAGAGGAUGGCCAGCCACACUGGGACUGAGACACUGCCCAGACUCCUACGGGAGGCUGCAGUCGAGAAUCUUGGGCAAUGCGCGAAAGCGUGACCCAGCAAUGCCGCGUGUGUGAUGAAGGUCUUCGGAUUGUAAAACACUGUCACCCGGGACGAAACUAUGACGGUACCGGGGGAGGAAGCCACGGCUAACUACGUGCCAGCAGCCGCCGUAACAC
rnacentral:rRNA from 1 species